UUUUUUUUUUCUCCAAAAAAGAAAAACGAGCACAGGUGUCGUGUAUAAGAAUUUUAAGUUAAGCACAAGGGUUAAUUAUUAGUCUUGUUAGGUUCAGAUUGGAUACUUUAAAGAAAUGCGGAUUAUGUUAAAGUCAUUGGAUGAAAGUCAUUGUACUGUACAACUUUGCAAGAAUCUUUAAAGUUCAUAUUGGAGUAGGAGUUUGGUUUAACCAGGUCCUAGAAAGUUGAGAGUUGAAUGAACUUAUUGGACUCAUGGAUUAUUGAUUAUUUAGCCAGUAGUGAUUAUUAGUUGUAAGAGG
rnacentral:misc_RNA from 1 species